ensembl:snoRNA SNORD24 Small nucleolar RNA SNORD24
UGCAGAGGAUGUGAAAGAAUAUUUGCUAUCUGAGAGAUAGUGAUGACAUUCCAGACCAAAAUAAAAGAAAACUUUAAUGCU